UACGGAGGAUGCAAGCGUUAUCCGGAAUCAUUGGGCGUAAAGCGUCCGUAGGUGGCUUUUCAAGUCUGCCGUCAAAGACCGGGGCUUAACCCCAGAAAGGCGGUGGAAACUGAAUAGCUAGAGUGCGGUAGGGGUAGAGGGAAUUCCCGGUGUAGCGGUGAAAUGCGUAGAGAUCGGGAAGAACACCGGUGGCGAAAGCGCUCUACUGGACCGUAACUGACACUCAGGGACGAAAGCUAGGGUAGCAAAUGGG
rnacentral:rRNA from 1 species